rnacentral:rRNA from 1 species
GUGCAAGUCGAGCGGACUUGAUGGAGUGCUUGCACUCCUGAGAGUUAGCGGCGGACGGGUGAGUAACACGUAGGCAACCUGCCCUCAAGACUGGGAUAACUACCGGAAACGGUAGCUAAUACCGGAUAAUUUAUUUCGCAGCAUUGUGGAAUAAUGAAAGACGGAGCAAUCUGUCACUUGGGGAUGGGCCUGCGGCGCAUUAGCUAGUUGGUGGGGUAAUGGCUCACCAAGGCGACGAUGCGUAGCCGACCUGAGAGGGUGAACGGCCACACUGGGACUGAGACACGGCCCAGACUCCUACGGGAGGCAGCAGUAGGGAAUCUUCCGCAAUGGGCGAAAGCCUGACGGAGCAACGCCGCGUGAGUGAUGAAGGUUUUCGGAUCGUAAAGCUCUGUUGCCAAGGAAGACCUCUUCUAGAGUACUGCUAGGAGAGUG